AACGAACGCUGGCGGCAGGCCUAACACAUGCAAGUCGAACGAUAAGCCACCUUCGGGUGGUGGACAGUGGCAGACGGGUGAGUAACGCGUGGGAACGUGCCUUUCGGUUCGGGAUAACCCAGGGAAACUUGGGCUAAUACCGGAUACGCCCUUCGGGGGAAAGAUUCAUUGCCGAAAGAUCGGCCCGCGUCGGAUUGGCUAGUUGGUGGGGUAAUGGCCUACCAAGGCGACGGUCCGUAGCUGGUCUGAGAGGAUGACCAGCCACGCUGGGACUGAGACACGGCCCAGACUCCUACGGGAGGCAGCAGUGGGGAAUAUUGGACAAUGGGCGAAAGCCUGAUCCAGCCAUGCCGCGUGGGUGAAGAAGGCCUUAGGGUUGUAAACCCCUUUCAGCGGGGACGAUAAUGACGGUACCCGCAGAAGAAGUCCCGGCUAACUCCGUGCCAGCAGCCGCCGUAA
rnacentral:rRNA from 1 species